rnacentral:rRNA from 1 species
GAUGAACGCUAGCUACAGGCUUAACACAUGCAAGUCGAGGAACCGGCGCACGGGUGAGUAACACGUAUCCAACCUGCCCUUUACUCGGGGCUAGCCUUUCGAAAGCAAGAUUAAUACCCGAUAUAAAGGAUGGGGAUGCGUUCCAUUAGGUUGUUGGUGAGGUAACGGCUCACCAAGCCUUCGAUGGAUAGGGGUGCUGAGAGGAAGGUACCCCAGAUUGGAAAUGAGACACGUUCAAAACUCCUACGGGAGGCAGGAGUGAGGAAUAUUGGUGAAUGGGCGCUAGCCUGAACCAGCCAAGUAGAAUGAAGGAUGAAGGGUUAUGGGUAGUAAACUUCUUUUAUAUAAGAAUAUGUAUUAUAUGAAUAAGGAUCGGCUAACUCCGUGCCAGCAGCCGCGGUAAUUC